rnacentral:rRNA from 1 species
AAGGUAGCGAAAUUCCUUGUCGGGUAAGUUCCGACCUGCACGAAUGGCGUAACGAUCUCCACACUGUCUCGGCCAGAGACUCGGUGAAAUUGCAGUCGCGGUGAAAAUUCCGUGUACCCGCAGAAAGACGGAAAGACCCUGUGCACCUUUACUAUAGCUUGACAUUGGAUUUUGGGCCUGCAUGUGUAGGAUAGGUGGGAGGCUGUGAACCCUGUACGCCAGUAUGGGGGGAGCCAUCCUUGAAAUACCACCCUUGCAUGUUUAAGAUCCUAACUUCUUCCGGUUAUCCCGGAGAAAGACAGUGUCUGGCGGGUAGUUUGACUGGGGCGGUCGCCUCCUAAAGUGUAACGGAGGCAUGCAAAGGUUCCCUCAGCCUGAUCGGAAACCAGGCGCUGAGUGCAAACGCAUAAGGGAGCUUGACUGUAAGAGAGACAUCUCGAACAGGAACGAAAGUUGGCGUUAGUGAUCCGGUGGUCCCGAAUGGAAGGGCCAUCGCUCAUUGGAUAAAAGGUACGCCGGGGAUAACAGGCUGAUCGCAUCCAAGAGUUCACAUCGACGAUGCGGUUUGGCACCUCGAUGUCGGCUCAUCACAUCCUGGGGCUGAAGCAGGUCCCAAGGGUACGGCUGUUCGCCGUUUAAAGUGGUACGCGAGCUGGGUUUAAAACGUCGUGAGACAGUUUGGUCCCUAUCUUCUGUGGGCGAAGGAGAAUUGAGAGGGCCUGUCCCUAGUACGAGAGGACCGGGAUGGACGCACCCCUGGUGAUCCUGUUGUCGCGCCAGCGGCAUAGCAGGGUAGCUAUGUGCGGAAGGGAUAACCGCUGAAAGCAUCUAAGCGGGAAGCCUGCCUCAAGAUAAGUUCUCCCCUCGAAAGAGCUGAAGGGCCCGGGUAGACUACCCGGUCGAUAGGCUGGAGGUGUAAGCGCGGCGACGUGCUCAGCUGACCAGUACUAAUAGCCCGUGCGGCUUGUUUAU